AGAGUUUGAUCCUGGCUCAGGACGAACGCUGGCGGCGUGCUUAACACAUGCAAGUCGAACGGAAAGGCCCUUCGGGGUACUCGAGUGGCGAACGGGUGAGUAACACGUGGGUGAUCUGCCCUGCACUCUGGGAUAAGCCUGGGAAACUGGGUCUAAUACCGGAUAGGACCGCAUGCUUCAUGGUGUGUGGUGCAAAGCUUUUGCGGUGUGGGAUGAGCCCGCGGCCUAUCAGCUUGUUGGUGGGGUAAUGGCCUACCAAGGCGACGACGGGUAGCCGGCCUGAGAGGGUGACCGGCCACACUGGGACUGAGAUACGGCCCAGACUCCUACGGGAGGCAGCAGUGGGGAAUAUUGCACAAUGGGCGCAAGCCUGAUGCAGCGACGCCGCGUGAGGGAUGACGGCCUUCGGGUUGUAAACCUCUUUCAGUAGGGACGAAGCGAAAGUGACGGUACCUACAGAAGAAGGACCGGCCAACUACGUGCCAGCAGCCGCGGUAAUACGUAGGGUCCGAGCGUUGUCCGGAAUUACUGGGCGUAAAGAGCUCGUAGGUGGUUUGUCGCGUUGUUCGUGAAAACUCACAGCUUAACUGUGGGCGUGCGGGCGAUACGGGCAGACUAGAGUACUGCAGGGGAGACUGGAAUUCCUGGUGUAGCGGUGGAAUGCGCAGAUAUCAGGAGGAACACCGGUGGCGAAGGCGGGUCUCUGGGCAGUAACUGACGCUGAGGAGCGAAAGCGUGGGGAGCGAACAGGAUUAGAUACCCCGGUAGUCCAA
rnacentral:rRNA from 1 species